rnacentral:rRNA from 1 species
UGACGAGUUUGAUCCUGGCUCAGAUUGAACGCUGGCGGCAUGCCUUACACAUGCAAGUCGAACGGUAACGGGUUAAGCCGACGAGUGGCGAACGGGUGAGUAAUAUAUCGGAACGUGCCCAGUCGUGGGGGAUAACGUAGAGAAAUUUACGCUAAUACCGCAUACGAUCUAAGGAUGAAAGCGGGGAUCGCAAGACCUCGCGCGAUUGGAGCGGCCGAUAUCAGAUUAGGUAGUUGGUGAGGUAAAGGCUCACCAAGCCGACGAUCUGUAGCUGGUCUGAGAGGACGACCAGCCACACUGGAACUGAGACGACGGUCCGGACUCCGUAC